UCAUAAACAUUCUUCACCAUGGAGUUCAGUUUAUACCCUACGCAUGCAGCUUUUGCCUUCCGGGCUGAACUGCUAAAUUUCCAUCCACGCUAAACAUUGUGUAUGUGGUAUUGCAACAUGCUGCAUAUGACUUCCAAACUUCCUAGAGCCUACCGGUUCCUGACCAUUUUGAGGUUGCAAUCCUUUUGGCAACAUCGAAAUGGAAGGUGACCAGAUUUCCCAUAGCCUCAAGUUUUAGUCUGCAUUUUCAAACGAGAGAAACAUGCACUGCAAAAGGUGCUCAUAGUUAGGCUACUCAUGCGUCCAGAUCCUUUCUAGGUAUUAGAAAGGACCCUUUGAUUUGCUGACCACCAACCUUUAAAAAUACAUUGUAACUUUAGAAAUGACACAACGAGGAGAAACCAAGGGCAAUGCAAACUCCAAAUCACUGGGUUGAUUUGCAACAAUAUAGUGUUCGCUUAGGGAACAAAGUUGCAUUUAGGAGGACUCACACACCGAAAUACUGUUGCUGAAGUGAAAAUGUAUCUUAUAUCAAAGUAAAAUGCACUCGCUUGUCCGUUUUUCCUGUCGAAACGUUGCGCGUUCUAGCUGAACCUCCCCCUUGUAGCGUUUGGUACCGUCCAAUGCUCUUUUUGGUCACUCCAGCAUCGGAUCUAGAGCACAGCACAACAUGUUGAAGACCGUAUGUGCCUGGUCACAGAACAAAACUUUAACUUUGGCUCGUCGGAUCAGAUGGGACUAAAGACCAACAUACAGCCAUGCUAUGGAUAUAGUUAUGAGUCCAGUCUUUGUUGAUUUGAAGGUUAUUCUUUGAUAUUGCGAUAAUAACGAAAUAUUUGCAGCAAAUAAGAGAGAAAAAGACAGACCGAGAAAGCGAUCAAAGAUGCAGGUCUCUGUGGUGCUGUGUAGCAUGAUAACUUUCUUUCUUCGCAGUCAAGAAGACUCCUCUUAUUCUUUCAUACAUUUCUAUUUGGAAAGAACUGCUUCCCACCAACUUCCCCCCAACCUCCUGCCAGUUGUGGUCAUGCUCUUCACAGCGGUGCUAAAGAACAUUUGCCCCUUUCAGGCCUUGCUGUUUGGACCCUGGAGAAAAGGGAGGUAUGGCGGUUCAAAGAUAUAGUGUCCCUGGUCUGAAAGAGGAACCAGAAUGUCUCUAUUGAUCCCGUGCUAGCAGGAGGUGCGCUUGAGGUGCCCCAGAGGAGCGUUUGGCUUUCCACUCCUGUUUUGUGGGUGUUUGACAGGUGAAAUAGUGUGGGAACCACAGGGAGGGUUUUCGAUAAAAUGCUUUUGUUGUGCCUGUCGGGGACGUGCGGAGUGAAUGCUCAAUAGCUCUGUAGGAGCCAGUGGUUAAUGGACAAAAUAGCCUCCAGUUGUAACUUCCGGUGUCUAAACUGUCCUCUCUCCGGAGACUUCAACAGAAGGGGUCAAGUGAGGAUUGCCUUGAUAUAAGGGGAGAAUUAAAAUAAGUAAUGGUUGUUGUUGAUGCCAGGUGUGUAUGUGUGUCUGUGCGUGGGUUCUUUUGGUUUUGUGUCUCCUGGCUUGGCCUGGUUGGGAGAGCGCCAUGCUAACAGAUUAGCUACACGUUCCACACAGACAGCGUGUCACUAGUAGCUCCUGCACUGGGGAAGAGAUGUGAAUGUGGACUAUCAUGAUCCAUACAGCCAACUCUGCAUCCACACUGUAGGCCUAGUUGAUUGUUUUCAUAAAUUCAAAUUGCACAUCGUAAAUCAACCUUGACGUCAUUAUAGCAGCAUUGACAAUUAUGUUAUUAGUUCUCGUAAUUAUUUUUUGCUCGUUUGCUCAGUCCAAACCCCUGAGGCAACAGAAGACUUUUCACAGGAUCGGGUCAGGGGGACAGAUGGGGGUUGUGGGGGAGGUCAACCACUUUUUGACAAUUUGGGUAAUAGGAGGGUCAUUUGGGUCCUGAGAACCCCGGAAAAUGUGAGGCGCAGCCUUCUCAUAGUCCCCCCUUCCUCUAUUCUCCUGUUCCUCCUUUUGAUUCAGUCUGUUUUCCUCGCUAUUGCCAACGAAGGGAAGUGGGAGUGGGGAGAGAGUAGGAAAGGGUGGCAUAGGAGAGAGAGUGGGACAUGGAAGAGGGAGAGGAUAAAGAACCAGUUAGGAGAGAUACGGAGUGAGAAGGGUGGUGGUAGGAAAGGAAGUAGUUUUAUUAACUAUGAUAGUCUGAUGAAGUGAGGAAUGAGUAAUAUGGGGCUUUUCUAGCUUGGGGUUGUUUUAAGAAAGAGAAGGAGAGCUAGAGGGGAAAAAAAGAGAAAAUAAGGAUUGUUCAGAGUGAGCGCCUAGCGAGGGCCAUUGUUUAUCCCUCCCUUUUGAGCUAAAGGAGACGGAAGAGGUACCCCGCUCUCAGGCAUCCCGCUGGGCACCCCGGAAGGGGGCCUUUGCAGCCGGUAAAAAGGGCUCGGCCAUACAGAUAAAUCACACUGAAUAGAGGGGUCUGUAUUUUCUGUUUUAUUCUCUUUCCAAAAAGGAGCCAGAAAGAGAGAGAAUUCAACCACAGGCUGUCUGCUUCAGUUCUAGAAUGGUCUCGCCUUCAAGUCACCAAUUUAAUGUGGGUUUUGUUGUUGUGUGUGUCUCAGACAUCAUGUGUAAUUUUACAUGUUUGAGUGUGUGCGUUUGUGACUCUUAAAACCCACACCUAUCAAUCUUGAGCUACUAAGUGUCACAUCACCUGUAUACAAAACAGCCAACUAUUGCCAAACUUAACGCACUGUGAAUACUAUUUUGCUGACAGAAUGAGUUGCCCUAAAAGUCUUCCCUGGCUGAAACAUGUGUUUGACCCAGGCCCAAACUCUUCUAGGAACUACUAUCAACUUCUAGGAUGUUGUUCUCCAGUGUCUGAUGAAGGGACAGGGUGACAACAUGGUGGAUGAUGACAAAUUGGUCUUUGUAAGGCGGCGUCUUGUAGCAAGUCACAUUCUGCUGAGCGGUCUUCUUUAGAAUAAGACUUUCCACAGACAGGAUGUGUGUGUGUGUGCUCAAGUGUUUGUGUAUGCGUGACUGUUUGAGACAAUUAUUUUAUAGGUCAGUGUUGGACUGACAGCAGGGCCAUAUGAACUCUACUCAUAUUGGCAAUCUCCGUGAGACAUUUUCAAAUGUAAUGAACUCCAUGGAGAAAAAAAAGAGGAGGAAGGGUAGUAGAUUUUGGUAGACAGAAGGUGCUCUUUGGUAAAAGGGGUAAAUUGGUUAUCAAAAAGAAAUGAGGACCAAGGCACUCUUCAUAUAAUUAAUUAAAAUGCCUUUAUUUGUAUGGCAUGUUCAAUAGAAAAAGUUUUUUAAAAAAGGACGCUUUUCGGGUGCAUGGCCUUCGUCAGGGAGUACAAAGAAAUAAUAAUACAAUGUCCUCUUUUGAACAGCUUUUUCCAAUCAGCCCUAAUUAGAAGAGGGAGUGGUUACACAAUUGAUUGGACAAUACCUAGUAAACAAUACUAUACACAUUAAAAGUAAAAUACUGUAGAUAUGUUAUCAGUUUUUUUUACUCCAAGCUAGAAGCAUCAGAAUGCCUAGAAAAGUAGUUCUAACCUUAAAUAUGUCUGGGCAAAGUGCCAAGAAAAGGAAAGCAAUCUAUUUCCUAGUACACUAGAACACAGCAAACAUGGCCAACAACAUUCUAAACAUAGCUGAGGGCAAUAGAGCAAAAUGUUCACUAGAUGACAGCAAAUGGACCUAUCAUGACCCUACAUAAAAGGUGAGAAAUCCAUAUCGUCAUUUAAACCAGGGUAAUUAGUGACCUGUAGUUUGUAAAUCCAAAUGCUGUCCCUUUGGUUUAGCUGUUUAAGAAGGUCCCCUUUUCAAAUUGAGGCCGGAACAUGAUCAAUACCCACAGCUUGUAAGGAGGCAGGGUUGCCAUGGUGUAAGGACUUGCCUUGCCGUGGGGUAGUCUCCAUUGCCUACCCGUAUGGCGUACUUGUGUUCCGCUAAGCAGUCUUGAAGGCGUCUCUUUGUCCGUCCAAUGUAGAACCCCUUGCACUGUGGACAUUCCAAUCUGUAGAUGACGUGAGUGGUUUUACAGUUAAUUAAAUGCUUGACGUGAUACUCCAUUUUAGAAGCUGUGUCAACAAAAUACUUUUUCUGUGCAAUAAUUAUGCAAUGGUUGCACUGCUUGCAUUUAAAAGAGCCCUUGGGUUUGUGGUCUAGCCAAGUUUUUUGAGAGUCACCAGGAAGAUAGCUGUGGACUAAUUUGUCAUUUAGGGUAGAACAUCUCUUAAAGCUUAUGACUUAUGACUCUGGGAAGACUUGGCGUAGUAGCAUAUCGCUUUGGAUGAUUCCCCAAUUAUUUUUAAUGAUUCUUUUUUUUUCUUUUCUUUUAAUGUUCUCUGCUUCGGUGCUGUAUUUUGUAACAAAGUACACUCUCUGAUGUAUCACAAGGCACGCCCUUUCGCAACAAGUUCUCUGUCAAGUCGGCCGUCCUUAUACCUGCAUCUUUCAGGACCUGAGCGCUGUAGCCCCGAUUCAAGAAGCGAUUCCCCAAUUCAGCAGAUUUGACACUGUAGUUUCCUGAUCGCAAAUUCUGCGGACUCUUUGGAAUUGGCCUUAUAGAAUGUUCUCUUUUAGCCUUUUGGGGUGAAAGCUGUCUGACCUCAGAAUGGUGUUCCCAUCUGCAGGCUUCUUAAAGAUUGUUGUGUGCAAACAACCUUUGCCAUUUUUACUGAUGUCAAGGUCCAAAAAAGGAAUGUUAUCCUUGCUCCAUAGUUAGUUUGAUGUUUUGGUUAAUGCUGUUAAGGUAUUGGUGGAAGGAAAUAAGUUCUUCUUCUGAGCCGAACCAGAACAGGCAAACAUCAUCAAUAUAGCGUCCCCAC
rnacentral:lncRNA from 8 species